AGCAGCCGCGGUAAUUCCAGCUCCAAUAGCGUAUAUUAAAGUUGUUGCAGUUAAAAAGCUCGUAGUUGAAUUUCGGGGUCAGUAGAUUGGUCGUGCCACUGGUAUGUACUGGUCUCACUGGCUCCUCCUUCCUGAUGAACCGUAAUGCCAUUAAUUUGGUGUUGCGGGGAGACUGGACUGUUACUUUGAAAAAUUAGAGUGUUUAAAGCAGGCUAACGCUUGAAUACAUUAGCAUGGAAUAAUGAAAUAGGACGUUCGAUCUUAUUUUGUUGGUUUCUAAGAUUGACGUAAUGAUUAAUAGGGAUAGUUGGGGGCAUUAGUAUUCAAUUGUCAGAGGUGAAAUUCUUGGAUUUAUUGAAGACUAACUACUGCGAAAGCAUUUGCCAAGGAUGUUUUCAUUAAUCAAGAACGAAAGUUAGGG
rnacentral:rRNA from 1 species